rnacentral:rRNA from 1 species
CCUACGGGUGGCAGCAGUCGAGAAUCAUUCACAAUGGGGGAAACCCUGAUGGUGCGACGCCGCGUGGGGGAAUGAAGGUCUUCGGAUUGUAAACCCCUGUCAUGUGGGAGCAAAUUAAAAAGAUAGUACCACAAGAGGAAGAGACGGCUAACUCUGUGCCAGCAGCCGCGGUAAUACAGAGGUCUCAAGCGUUGUUCGGAAUCACUGGGCGUAAGGCGUGCGUAGGCUGUUUCGUAAGUCGUGUGUGAAAGGCGCGGGCUCAACCCGCGGACGGCACAUGAUACUGCGAGACUAGAGUAAUGGAGGGGGAACCGGAAUUCUCGGUGUAGCAGUGAAAUGCGUAGAUAGCGAGAGGAACACUCGUGGCGAAGGCGGGUUCCUGGACAUUAACUGACGCUGAGGCACGAAGGCCAGGGGAGCGAAAGGGAUUAGAUACCCUAGUAGUC